AACGAACGCUGGCGGCAUGCCUAACACAUGCAAGUCGAACGAGACCUUCGGGUCUAGUGGCGCACGGGUGCGUAACGCGUGGGAACCUGCCUUUAGGUUCGGAAUAACUCAGAGAAGUUUGAGCUAAUACCGGAUGAUGUCUUCGGACCAAAGAUUUAUCGCCUUUAGAUGGGCCCGCGUUGGAUUAGCUAGUUGGUGGGGUAAAGGCCUACCAAGGCGACGAUCCAUAGCUGGUCUGAGAGGAUGAUCAGCCACACUGGGACUGAGACACGGCCCAGACUCCUACGGGAGGCAGCAGUGGGGAAUAUUGGACAAUGGGCGAAAGCCUGAUCCAGCAAUGCCGCGUGAGUGAUGAAGGCCUUAGGGUUGUAAAGCUCUUUUACCCGAGAUGAUAAUGACAGUAUCGGGAGAAUAAGCUCCGGCUAACUCCGUG
rnacentral:rRNA from 1 species